UUACCAAAUCAAAUUCAAUCUUGCAAAGCAAUUCUCUCUCUCCUUCACCCAUCAAAUUCGACCACCUCCUCUCUCCCUCAUCUCUCACUUUCCACCAUUGUCAACCAUUAAUGAGACCUUCGGAGCUUCCUAAAAUCAUACCAAACACACUAAUCCACCACUAAAUCUUGCCUAAACACCUUCAAUCUCAUUGAAUUCAAGAGGAUCCUUGAAGAUUGGUUUCAAAGCUAGAAAGAGAAAGUGUGAGUUUUGGUGUAAGUUUGGACACAAGCAGAGCAAGGAAGUAAGUAACUCCGCUUUGACGGGAGAUUUUGAGUAAGGCUAAGCGGGGAGCGAGAUUGGUCUGGUGCUGGUGGGGGAACGUUUCAAUCGAUGUGUUCAUAUUUAAUAUUGUCGUUAUGAUUGAUAGAGUCUUGAUGAUUGAAAUACUUUAUUUUCUCUUGAAUCAAGUAAUAUACUCACGAUUAUGUGUCUUCAUACAUAUAAUCGGUUCGCCUUUUGCUGCGAUACUCUGCAUAUUAUUCUUCCUUAUGAAAAAUAAGCUAUACCUGCUUUGUUUUUUAUC